rnacentral:miRNA from 1 species
GCAGAUACAUUCCAGCCAAUCAGCAGCAGACCCUCCCUCCCAGACCCUCCCACCUCCUGGACAGCUCACUAAGAAUGCAGCUUCAAAAUGGAUGCUGUCCAGGAGUUGGGAGGGUUUGGGAGGGAGGGUCUGCUGUUGAUUGGCUGGAAUGUGUCUG